GUUUUAAUAGUUUAAUCUAAAACUUUGGUCUUGUAAACCAAGAAUGAAACCAACUUUCUUAAAACU
rnacentral:tRNA from 1 species